AGAAAAGGUAAUGAUUGUUAUUGAUGUAUGUGUUCGGUCUUAAUUGUAGGAAUGGAUUAUCUUUCUGUUUCUGUAGAGCAAGUUCAUCAGGUUUUGUUGAAAAUAGGGGUAAGAUCUUUAUCUUGAUGAAUAUUUUCAUUUUAUAAAAAAUUUCCAUUUCUUUGCUAACUUUUUGGAAGAAAGGAAAAAACGAACACAAAACUAAACUGAUGCUGCAAGAAUUUUAACCAUUUCGGAUUCUAUAAAUUAAAUCACUCUUACUAUUCUGUUGGUCUGCGUAGUUCAAAUUUGUGAAUCUUUUCACGUCAUGAAAUUGUUGCAGAUUGGUGUAGUGCCUACAUUUGACUCAUGUUUAGAAAUUCUAACUUUGAAUACAUUGCUCUAAGUUAUAAUUCCGGUGGAGGGCUUGAUACUUGAUGAUGUAAGUCCAGGAGAAUACAUGCUUCAUUGCUUGCCUUUAAGGAUCCCUGGUACCUACGGAUCACCCUCAAGAUGCGUCCUUAUGCAGUGAUCACUCUCUGUAUGUUAAAUGGAGCUUGUAAAUGUAUAAAUUCAUUCUGUAAGUUUGUGUUGGUAUAUAAUCAAUUGGCAAUAGUAUAUUAUAAUAUGUUGAACCUACG
rnacentral:lncRNA from 1 species